rnacentral:lncRNA from 1 species
GGGGAUGCAUUUGGGUGGGAGGGGGCGAUCUCAGAGGUCUCAUCCAACACCAUUCUGCCAUUCCAUGAGAAGAGCUGACAACGCCGGGGCUGAAGAAAUCUCACCCCCCAGCUCCCCACGAAGCAGCCAACACUGCCGUCAUCGCAGUGGUCAUCACGCUGGUGUUCCUCACCCUGCUGACGGUGCUGGUGGUCAUCGUCAUCUACCUGUACAGAAACAAGGGCAGCUACCUCACCUACGAGCAGCCGGUGGCCGAGGAGGACGCAGCCGUGCAGAUGGAGGACGACCCAUCCAAGGAGAAAGAAGAAUAUUUCAUAUAGGGUCCAUCUUCACGUCGCCUGAACCACCCGGAGUCUGUAUAAAAAAAAAAAAAUCCACAAGUUAAGUGCACCACAGUGAAUACAGAGAGAGACGGAACGCGGAUCUUCCUUUAACAGUCGGUCGAUGGCUGAACACAACACAGAGGGACGCGGAUUUUACACCCAACCGAAACCUCCUGAUAACACAGAUCUGAAUUCUGAUCCUUUGUUUGUUUGUUUGUUUGCUUUCCUUCGUAAAACGACGACGACGACGACGACAAAGGAAACAUUGAGGAUCCCUGAAAUGUUCUUCAUCACCCUACUGUGACUCCAUCGCACCCCCCCGGCUGUUCUGCAGUGUGUGUUCCUAUGAUGACCCACAGCCCUCACGCUGCUGU